AAGCUUCCUUCCCCAAUUCACUGAACGAACCCCAAUCUCAUUUACCGCCGGUGUCGUUUAUUCAAAUUACCUUCUCAUCUCAAGUCACCUUCUCAUCUUGGAAGGUUCUCCACCACCACUCAUUUCAUCACAGGUUUUCUUCCUCCUCAAUUUUUUUCGAAGGGGGCGACCAUGGCUUUUUUCGGCCAACCCAUAGGACAAAUUCGACCCUCUUGGCUGCCGGGGAGGGGCGACCGCACCCUCCUGCCCCCCCCUGGAUCCGCCACUGAACCCAAAGAUGUCAUGAAAUUACUCAUAGCAGUCGACAUCAAAACAACGCUGCCCAUCCUUGCGUAUUUAUCACGGGAAGCCAAUACUUUUUGCUUCGGAAGCCAAUGAAAGCAUCGGCCGCCAUUGCAAGUGUGCAGACGGCAGAAGCUGCUGCAAUAUACAUGCCUAUCCAUGGCAUCGUUGAAUCGAGUGAUUCUUGCUCAAAGUAAUAGCAGGAGUAGUAUAAUCCACGAGCUCGAAAGCUUGCUCGAUUAUUUCGAUUUGUGCUUCUCUUUGAUUUUGAUUGUACCACAGAGUCUUAGUUCAAUGAAAAGAGUAUCAAGUCUUUGCCGUGUUAA